UACGUAGGUGGCAAGCGUUAUCCGGAUUUAUUGGGUGUAAAGGGCGUGUAGGCGGGAAUGCAAGUCAGAUGUGAAAACUCAGGGCUCAACCCUGAGCCUGCAUUUGAAACUGUGUUUCUUGAGUGCUGGAGAGGCAAUCGGAAUUCCGUGUGUAGCGGUGAAAUGCGUAGAUAUACGGAGGAACACCAGUGGCGAAGGCGGAUUGCUGGACAGUAACUGACGCUGAGGCGCGAAAGCGUGGGGAGCGAACAGG
rnacentral:rRNA from 1 species